GCGUUUUUCACACAUAAACACCCUUCUGGUUUAGAAUGUCAUUCAUUUGCGAUCACACGCAAUCAAUACAACUUUCAACAACGGAUCUCUUGGCUCUCGCAUCGAUGAAGAACGCAGCGAAAUGCGAUACGUAAUGUGAAUUGCAGAAUUCAGUGAAUCAUCGAAUCCUUGAACGCAUCUUGCGCCCCUUGGUAUUCCGAGGGGCACACCCGUUUGAGUGUCGUGAAAUUCUCAAACCUUCUUGGUUUCUCGAUCAAGAUGGCUUUGGACUUUGGAGGCAUUUUGCUGGCUUUGCGAAAAGCCAGCUCCUCUUAAAUACAUUAGUGGGGUCCCCUUUGCCGAUCCCCAGGCGUGAUAAGAUGUUUCUACGUCUCGGGAUUUGCUCUGUUCCUUGGGAACCCGCUUAUAACCGUCCCACGGGAGACAUCGUUCGAGCAUGCUCGACCCACGAACCUUGACCUCAAAUCGGGUGAGACUACCCGCUGAACUUAAGCAUAUCAAUAAGCGGAGGAAAAGAAACUAACAAGGAUUCCCCUAGUAACUGCGAGUGAAGCGGGAAAAGCUCAAAUUUAAAAUCUGGUGGCCUUUGGUCAUGCCGAGUUGUAAUUUAGAGAAGCG
rnacentral:rRNA from 1 species